UACGGAAGGCAGCAGUGGGGAAUAUUGCACAAUGGGCGCAAGCCUGAUGCAGCCAUGCCGCGUGUAUGAAGAAGGCCUUCGGGUUGUAAAGUACUUUCAGUCGUGAGGAAGGUGUUAAGGUUAAUAACCUUAGCAAUUGACGUUAGCGACAGAAGAAGCACCGGCUAACUCCGUGCCAGCAGCCGCGGUAAUACGGAGGGUGCGAGCGUUAAUCGGAAUUACUGGGCGUAAAGGGCACGCAGGCGGUUAAUUAAGUUGGAUGUGAAAUCCCCGGGCUUAACCUGGGAAUGGCAUUCAAGACUGGUUAGCUAGAGUCUUGUAGAGGGGGUAGAAUUCCAUGUGUAGCGGUGAAAUGCGUAGAGAUGUGGAGGAAUACCGGGUGGCGAAGGCGGCCCCUGGGACAAAGACUGACGCUCAUGUGCGAAAGCGUGGGGAGCAAACAGGAUUAGAUACC
rnacentral:rRNA from 1 species